rnacentral:rRNA from 1 species
UACGAAGGGGGCGAGCGUUGUUCGGAUUUACGGGGCGUAAAGGGCGCGUAGGCGGCCUCGCAAGUCGAGUGUGAAAGCCCCGGGCUCAACCUGGGAAUUGCGCUCGAGACUGUGGUGCUGGAGUUCGGGAGAGGAGCGUGGAAUUCCCAGUGUAGAGGUGAAAUUCGUAGAUAUUGGGAAGAACACCGGUGGCGAAGGCGGCGCUCUGGACCGAGACUGACGCUGAGGCGCGAAGGCGUGGGGAGCAAACAGG